GGGAACAUAGCUCAUUGGCACUGCACCUGCCUGGCAAGCAUGCAGUCCUGAGUUCAAAUCUCAGUACCA
rnacentral:tRNA from 1 species